rnacentral:rRNA from 1 species
UACGAAGGGGGCUAGCGUUGCUCGGAAUUACUGGGCGUAAAGGGCGCGUAGGCGGACAUUUAAGUUAGAGGUGAAAGCCCCCGGCUCAACUGGGGAGGGUCAUUCGAUACUGUUCGACUCGAAGGCAGGAGAGGGAAGUGGAAUUCCGGGUGUAGUGGUGAAAUGCGUAGAUAUCCGGAGGAACACCAGUGGCGAAGGCGACUUUCUGGCCUGUUCUUGACGCUGAGGCGCGAAAGCUAGGGGAGCAAACGGG